CAGAGGGAGCCAUUGGAUGGAUAAGGUUGUUUGUUCAGUUGUGGUUUUUUGUUUUCCUUUG
ensembl:miRNA